AUUUCUCUAAGCAUCAGAAGGAUCUUGAGUGAAUCAAUAUAUAUUCCUUCUCCCCACAAUGCCUGGGGCCUCUCUGGAUGUCACGUAUCCCUCUUCACUCACUACUUUUCCCCCUCCAGCACCUGGACGCUCCCACUCUAACCCAUUCGGAAAGCUGUCCACUAUAAGAAGCCCCAGAGCGAGAGCUUGACAGCCAGGCAGAUUAUGGCCAGGGGCUGAGGAGAGGGAGCCAAAGCUACACUUACUGCAUCUGUUUCUCCAACUGCCACCUGCUCAGAAAAUCGAACCUUCACAGGAUUGGACCUCAACUUGGCCUUCUUCGCAGCACUGAUGAAAGCAGAUUUGGGGGACUGGAAAAAGAACAGAGAGAUGGAUAUUUGCCCAGAAGGUUGCCCAUCGCCACUCCAGAUCAUUGGCUUGAGGUGCUAAGCUGACAGAUGCCAGUCUGCAUUCGUCUAUGCAAAUGAGGCCCCUGAGCAGAACUCCCCAUCAGGCCUGGAAAGCUGUUUGGAGAAAGAGGCAAAGAAUAAUGAAGUAAGCCUGCAUAAGGAGAUAAUUCAAACACUGUAUCACUCUGUCACCCAGGCUGAGUGCAGUGGUACAAUCUUGGCUCACUGCAACCUCCGCUUCCUGGGUUCAAGUCAUUCUCCUCCCUCAGCCUCCUGAGUAGCCGGGAUUACAGGUACG
rnacentral:lncRNA from 10 species